UGUGGCUCAGUUGAUAAAGUGUUUGCCUGGCAUGCAUGAGAUCCUGGGUUCAAUUCCCAGAACCACAG
rnacentral:tRNA from 1 species